rnacentral:rRNA from 1 species
AUGGCUCCCGCGGCCACGACCAAAGAGCACUCGCGGCCAAAAGCGCCGCCGGCAGGUCGUCGAAGAGCGGCGGGAGGAGGUACGGAUACAGCGCGGCCGUCAUCAUGUACCACUCUUGCUGCCGCUGGAGCUCCCAGAGCUGCGGCCGACCCGCGCCCGCUCCUCCGCUCGGCUACCCCUCUACUUCCCCACCAGAUGGCGUGUGGUGGCAGCCGGAUCGAGCACGAAUUCUCCCCAAUGCCCCAUCCUGCAGCCGCCUCGUCCCCCAACAUGGAUCAGAAUAAUAAUUUUCUACAGAUGAGGGACGGGGCAAGGGGAAUCGUGUGUGCUUACAGAUGA